rnacentral:rRNA from 1 species
UACGUAGGGGGCAAGCGUUGUCCGGAUUCAUUGGGCGUAAAGAGCGUGUAGGCGGCCAGGUAGGUCGGUUGUGAAAACUGGAGGCUCAACCUUCAGAGGUCGACCGAAACCAUCUGGCUAGAGUCCGGGAGAGGAGAGUGGAAUUCCUGGUGUAGCGGUGAAAUGCGCAGAUAUCUGGAGGAAUACCGGUGGCGAAGGCGGCAUCCUGGACCGACAUUGACGCUGAACGGCGAAAGCUAGGGGAGCAAACGGG